rnacentral:misc_RNA from 1 species
UGUGGGAGCGAGCCUGCUCGCGAUAGCGUCGGCACAUUCGGCAUCGAUGCGCGCUGACCCACCGCCAUCGCGAGCAGGCUCGCUCCCACA